AGGGAUUGCCUUAGUAGCGGCGAGUGAAGCGGCAAAAGCUCAAAUUUGAAAUCUGGCGCCUUCGGUGUCCGAGUUGUAAUUUGAAGAUUGUAACCUUGGGGUUGGCUCUUGUCUAUGUUUCUUGGAACAGGACGUCACAGAGGGUGAGAAUCCCGUGCGAUGAGAUGCCCAAUUCUAUGUAAGGUGCUUUCGAAGAGUCGAGUUGUUUGGGAAUGCAGCUCUAAGUGGGUGGUAAAUUCCAUCUAAAGCUAAAUAUUGGCGAGAGACCGAUAGCGAACAAGUACAGUGAUGGAAAGAUGAAAAGAACUUUGAAAAGAGAGUGAAAAAGUACGUGAAAUUGUUGAAAGGGAAGGGUUUGAGAUCAGACUCGAUAUUUUGUGAGCCUUGCCUUCGUGGCGGGGUGACCCGCAGCUUAUCGGGCCAGCAUCGGUUUGGGCGGUAGGAUAAUGGCGUAGGAAUGUGACUUUACUUCGGUGAAGUGUUAUAGCCUGCGUUGAUGCUGCCUGCCUAGACCGAGGACUGCGAUUUUAUCAAGGAUGCUGGCAUAAUGAUCCCAAACCGCCCGUCUUGAAACACGGACC
rnacentral:rRNA from 1 species